rnacentral:tRNA from 1 species
GAAUAUGAAGCGAUUAAUUGCAAUUAGUUUCGACCUAAUCUUAGGCUUAUAAAGCCCUUAUUCU